UGCCAGGUGUGGAUGUUCAUAUACAAUGCAAAUUCAAUGAAAACUCGCCUAAAACAGCAGAGCAGAUAAACUUCUCGGUGAACCGAACAACAGAUAGAUAUGGGACAUACAACCUGGAAGUACCACAAAUUGAAGGUGUUGAUUGUGUAGAUGGUGCAGCAAUUGAAUCUUUGUGCCAGGCAAGUUUAAUAAACAGCUCAUCUUCAGCCUGUGAUGUUCCUGGAUUAAAGACAACAA
rnacentral:misc_RNA from 1 species